rnacentral:rRNA from 1 species
GAUGAACGCUGGCGGCGUGCCUAAUACAUGCAAGUCGAGCGAACAGAUGAGGAGCUUGCUCCUCUGACGUUAGCGGCGGACGGGUGAGUAACACGUGGAUAACCUACCUAUAAGACUGGGAUAACUUCGGGAAACCGGAGCUAAUACCGGAUAAUAUAUUGAACCGCAUGGUUCAAUAGUAAAAGACGGUUUUGCUGUCACUUAUAGAUGGAUCCGCGCCGCAUUAGCUAGUUGGUAAGGUAACGGCUUACCAAGGCGACGAUGCGUAGCCGACCUGAGAGGGUGAUCGGCCACACUGGAACUGAGACACGGUCCAGACUCCUACGGGAGGCAGCAGUAGGGAAUCUUCCGCAAUGGGCGAAAGCCUGACGGAGCAACGCCGCGUGAGUGAUGAAGGUCUUCGGAUCGUAAAACUCUGUUAUUAGGGAAGAACAAAUGUGUAAGUAACUAUGCACGUCUUGACGGUACCUAAUCAGAAAGCCACGGCUAACUACGUG